rnacentral:rRNA from 1 species
UACGAAGGGGGCUAGCGUUGCUCGGAAUCACUGGGCGUAAAGCGCACGUAGGCGGAUUCUUAAGUCAGGGGUGAAAUCCUGGAGCCCAACUCCAGAACUGCCUUUGAUACUGGGAGUCUCGAGUCCGGGAGAGGUGAGUGGAACUGCGAGUGUAGAGGUGAAAUUCGUAGAUAUUCGCAAGAACACCAGUGGCGAAGGCGGCUCACUGGCCCGGUACUGACGCUGAGGUGCGAAAGCGUGGGGAGCAAACAGG